rnacentral:rRNA from 1 species
CUUGUGAUAAGGGAACCCCGAGUGCCCGUACACGCGGGAUGUCUGGGUGUUUAAAAUGCACCCAAAGAAAGGGCCGGGGAAGACCGGUGCCAGCCGCCGCGGUAAUACCGGCGGCUCGAGUGGUGACCACUUUUAUUGGUCUUAAAGCGUUCGUAGCUGGACUGUUAAGUCCCUUGGAAAAACCGCCGGCUCAACCGGCGGGGGUCUAAGGGAUACUGGAAGUCUUGGGACCGGGAGAGGGAAGAGGUAUUCCGGGGGGGGGAGUUAAAUCCUUGAAUCCCCGGGGACCCCCGGGGGGAAGGCGGUUUUACCAAAACGGCUCCAACAGUGAGGACGAAACU